rnacentral:rRNA from 1 species
GAUGAACGCUGGCGGCGUGCCUAAUACAUGCAAGUCGAGCGAACGGACGAGAAGCUUGCUUCUCUGAUGUUAGCGGCGGACGGGUGAGUAACACGUGGAUAACCUACCUAUAAGACUGGGAUAACUUCGGGAAACCGGAGCUAAUACCGGAUAAUAUUUUGAACCGCAUGGUUCAAAAGUGAAAGACGGUCUUGCUGUCACUUAUAGAUGGAUCCGCGCUGCAUUAGCUAGUUGGUAAGGUAACGGCUUACCAAGGCAACGAUGCAUAGCCGACCUGAGAGGGUGAUCGGCCACACUGGAACUGAGACACGGUCCAGACUCCUACGGGAGGCAGCAGUAGGGAAUCUUCCGCAAUGGGCGAAGGCCUGACGGAGCAACGCCGCGUGAGUGAUGAAGGUCUUCGGAUCGUAAAACUCUGUUAUUAGGGAAGAACAUAUGUGUAAGUAACUGUGCACAUCUUGACGGUACCUAAUCGGAAAGCCACGGCUAACUACGUGCCAGCAGCCGCGGUAAUACGUAGGUGGCAAGCGUUUUCCGGAAUUAUUGGGCGUAAAGCGCGCGUAGGCGGUUUUUUAAGUCUGAUGUGAAAGCCCACGGCUCAACCGUGGAGGGUCAUUGGAAACUGGAAAACUUGAGUGCAGAAGAGGAAAGUGGAAUUCCAUGUGUAGCGGUGAAAUGCGCAGAGAUAUGGAGGAACACCAGUGGCGAAGGCGACUUUCUGGUCUGCAACUGACGCUGAUGUGCGAAAGCGUGGGGAUCAAACAGGGUUAGAUACCCUGGUAGUCCACGCCGUAAACGAUGAGUGCUAAGUGUUAGGGGGUUUCCGCCCCUUAGUGCUGCAGCUAACGCAUUAAGCACUCCGCCUGGGGAGUACGACCGCAAGGUUGAAACUCAAAGGAAUUGACGGGGACCCGCACAAGCGGUGGAGCAUGUGGUUUAAUUCGAAGCAACGCGAAGAACCUUACCAAAUCUUGACAUCCUUUGACAACUCUAGAGAUAGAGCCUUCCCCUCGGGGGACAAAGUGACAGGUGGUGCAUGGUUGUCGUCAGCUCGUGUCGUGAGAUGUUGGGUUAAGUCCCGCAACGAGCGCAACCCUUAAGCUUAGUUGCCAUCAUUAAGUUGGGCACUCUAAGUUGACUGCCGGUGACAAACCGGAGGAAGGUGGGGAUGACGUCAAAUCAUCAUGCCCCUUAUGAUUUGGGCUACACACGUGCUACAAUGGACAAUACAAAGGGCAGCGAAACCGCGAGGUCAAGCAAAUCCCAUAAAGUUGUUCUCAGUUCGGAUUGUAGUCUGCAACUCGACUACAUGAAGCUGGAAUCGCUAGUAAUCGUAGAUCAGCAUGCUACGGUGAAUACGUUCCCGGGUCU